GUGGGGAAUAUUGGACAAUGGGCGAAAGCCUGAUCCAGCCAUGCCGCGUGUGUGAAGAAGGUCUUCGGAUUGUAAAGCACUUUAAGUUGGGAGGAAGGGCAGUAAGUUAAUACCUUGCUGUUUUGACGUUACCAACAGAAUAAGCACCGGCUAACUUCGUGCCAGCAGCCGCGGUAAUACGAAGGGUGCAAGCGUUAAUCGGAAUUACUGGGCGUAAAGCGCGCGUAGGUGGUUCAGCAAGUUGAAGGUGAAAUCCCCGGGCUCAACCUGGGAACUGACUCCAAAACUGCAUGACUAGAGUACGGUAGAGGGUAGUGGAAUUUCCUGUGUAGCGGUGAAAUGCGUAGAUAUAGGAAGGAACACCAGUGGCGAAGGCGACUACCUGGACUGAUACUGACACUGAGGUGCGAAAGCGUGGGGAGCAAACAGGAUUAGAUACCCCGGUGUCC
rnacentral:rRNA from 1 species